rnacentral:lncRNA from 1 species
AAAUAAUUAUACAAUAUUUAUUUUUACAGAAAGGCCUACACUAAAUAAUCCAUGGCAGAGCACAGCCCAAGAGAAUUUGAAACAAGCCACAGCUGACGGUGACAUUGAAAACUUAGUGUAUGCUGCCUUCAAAAAACUGUUGCAAUUGUGGAAUUCAUGGAGCCAAAGUAAUAGAGAAACAAACUGGCCGGGACUAUCAGGAACGUCUUACAGUAGCCGAUCACCCAGCGUUAUUCCUGCAUCACAGUUGAACGAUAGAAGUGAAAAAGGCGGAGUCUGCGUUUGCUACGAUGAUUCUAGAACUAUUCCGUGGAAUGUUCACGGCGAGAUCAGCGUGUAAAUUAGAAUUGGUUUACCAUACAAACCAUUAACGA